GAUGAACGCCGGCGGCGUGCCUAAUACAUGCAAGUCGAGCGAACAGACGAGGAGCUUGCUCCUCUGACGUUAGCGGCGGACGGGUGAGUAACACGUGGAUAACCUACCUAUAAGACUGGGAUAACUUCGGGAAACCGGAGCUAAUACCGGAUAAUAUAUUGAACCGCAUGGUUCAAUAGUGAAAGACGGUUUUGCUGUCACUUAUAGAUGGAUCCGCGCCGCAUUAGCUAGUUGGUAAGGUAACGGCUUACCAAGGCAACGAUGCGUAGCCGACCUGAGGGGGUGAUCGGCCACACUGGAACUGAGACACGGUCCAGACUCCUACGGGAGGCAGCAGUAGGGAAUCUUCCGCAAUGGGCGAAAGCCUGACGGAGCAACGCCGCGUGAGUGAUGAAGGUCUUCGGAUCGUAAAACUCUGUUAUUAGGGAAGAACAAAUGUGUAAGUAACUAUGCACGUCUUGACGGUACCUAAUCAGAAAGCCACGGCUAACUACGUG
rnacentral:rRNA from 1 species